rnacentral:rRNA from 1 species
UACGUAGGGUGCGAGCGUUGCCCGGAUUUACUGGGCGUAAAGGGUGCGCAGGCGGCCUGGCGCGUCGCGAGUGAAAUCUCCUGGCUCAACUGGGAGGGUGGUCGCGAGACGGCUGGGCUUGAGGCUCGGUGAGGGGCGUGGAAUUCCGGGUGGAGCGGUGAAAUGCGCAGAUAUCAGGAGGAACACCGGUGGCGAAGGCGGAUCUCUGGGCCGAUACUGACGCUGAGGAGCGAAAGCGUGGGGAGCGAACAGG